UACAGAGGUCUCAAGCGUUGUUCGGAUUUAUUGGGCGUAAAGCGUGCGUAGGCGGCGGGGUAAGUGAGGUGUGAAAUCCCGGAGCUUAACUCCGGAACUGCACUUUAUACUGCCUUGCUAGAGGGCUGGAAAGGAGACUGGAAUUUACGGUGUAGCAGUGAAAUGCGUAGAGAUCGUAAGGAAGACCAGUGGCGAAGGCGAGUCUCUGGAAAGCUGCUGACGCUGAGGCACGAAGGCCAGGGGAGCAAACGGG
rnacentral:rRNA from 1 species